rnacentral:rRNA from 1 species
AUGUGCUCGAUCAUGUGGGCACAUGUCAAUAUUAGUAUCUUCCGCCUACCAGCAGUCUCUAAGGCAGUCCAUAUUGCAGUAAAUCCAGUCGCAUCACAAGCAGCGACAAGCGCUUCUCCUUCCUUGCUCUGUGUGGUAUUUCAACUCAAGUUCCUCGCUCAAAUGAUUGUAUUUGAAAUUUACAAAUAUCUUGGUGCCGCCGCAAAAAGUAUGUGCUUACCAUGCUCUUUUGUUUUCCUCCAAUAUUUCAGAGUAUACCACGGACUAAAACUAACAUGGAGGAAAACAAAUCCAAACUCAUUACAUUAA